rnacentral:rRNA from 1 species
AACGCUAGCGGCAGGCUUAACACAUGCAAGGUCGAGGGGCAACACGGGUAGCAAUACCGUGGUGGCGACCGGCGGCGAAGGGUGCGUAACGCGUGAGCAAAUGCCCUAUACGAGGGGGAUAAUCCAGGGAAACUUGGUCUAAUAUCCCAUAGUAUUUAGAGGAGGCAUCUUCUAUAAAAUUAAAGCUUCGGUGGUAUAGGAUUGGCUCGCGUGACAUUAGCUAGAUGGUGAGGUAACGGCUCACCAUGGCAAUGAUGUCUAGGGGUUCUGAGAGGAAGGCCCCCCACACUGGGACUGAGACACGGCCCAGACUCCUACGGGAGGCAGCAGUGAGGAAUAUUGGACAAUGGAUGGAAAUCUGAUCCAGCCAUGCCGCGUGCAGGAAGACAGCCCUAUGGGUUGUAAACUGCUUUUAUAUGGGAGCAAUAAGGUCUACGUGUAGACUGAUGAGAGUACCAUAUGAAUAAGCAUCGGCUAACUCCGUG